rnacentral:snoRNA from 1 species
AUCCGGACUGAUAACUGGAUGGUUUGUCGGAUGGUAACCUGUCACUCCUGUCGCCUACUGUCUUUUAAGUGUCCGGAAUAAAAAGUGAGGAAACAGUAUUUUAGUGGGCGUGAUCUGAACAAUGUUCAUGCCAUUCUGCUGUUUGCUCUACAAGC